rfam:Brachypodium distachyon strain Bd21 chromosome 2, whole genome shotgun sequence.
GUAGUACUCCCUCCGUCCAAAAAAGGAUGUCUCAACUUUGAUCAAAUUUGAAUACAUCUAUACACUAAGUCAUGUCUAGAUACAUCCAAAUUUUAACAAACUUGAGACAUUUUUUAUCGGACGGAGGGGGUAUAUU